rnacentral:rRNA from 1 species
AUGUGGACGUUGAGAACUGUGAACACGCUGCGCGAACGGCGGCAGCGCCUGCGCUGCCACCAGCCUGCCCCGGAAGAAGAGCUCGAUGGCGCCGGACUGGAUCACGACGCCGAUCUUGUGGUUGGGGUUGGAGAUGUUGGCCGUCAGCGUCAUGUCGCCGUUGAAGUAGGGAGGAGGCGAGCCGACAUAGAUGCUGUGGAGGGCGGCAUUGGCGACGUCGAAGGACAGCGUCCUCGGCUUCACCGCCAGGUAGACGGUGAGGAUCACCAGGCCGGCGAGGAUGAGGAGGACGCUGAAGGCGAAGCAGACGAUGGCAGCGCACCACAUCGCGGGGCUGGUCCGGUGCCGCGGCUGCAGGAUGAUCUUGGGCGGCGGCGGCUCCGGCUCCUGCCGCUUCAUGCUGAUGAUCUUGGUGACGAUGGCUCUUGGAGACAGGAGGUGGUAUGGAGUAGGAGUGGCCAUUGA